rnacentral:lncRNA from 12 species
ACUGUACAAUUGCUUAUCUCUGCCUUGCAAAUUGCCUUUCAAAAUCAAUAGUAGGGCAGCCCCGCUGGCUCAGUGGUUUAGCACCGCCUUCGGCCCAGGACAUGAUCCUGGAGACCCGGGAUCGAGUCCCGCAUCAGGCUCCCUGCGUGGAGCCUGCUUCUCCCUCUGCCUGUGUCUCUGCAUCUCUCUCUCUCUCUCUCUCUCUGUGCCUCUCAUGAAUAAAUAAAAUAAAAUCUUAAAAAAAAAUCAAUAGUAAAUUGACCUCUAUAAGAAUUCAUAGAAAUUAAUUCCCAUGUUCAUGGCCUGGUAUCCUCCCUAAACCUCCUUUUGAAAUAUCACAGAAAUGCAAAAGAAGUUUCUUACAUUAUAAUAAUGUAACACUAAUAGGUCUGUGCCAGGCACUGGACAAAGUCUUUUAUAUUAUCUCAUCUACUCCUUACAGGUGCUCUGUGAAGCAUGAACAUAACUUGGCUCCAUCUAACAGAUAAAGGAACUGAGGUUUGGUGAGAUUAUCAAAGUCAGUUACCCAAGGCCACUGAGUCAAGAUUCAAACCCAGACGGUUUGCCUGCAAGCUCCUUAACAAACAUUCUAGAAAAUGCGUUAUUGACAACCAUGCAGUUUUUUGCUAUAGUGAACAUGCACUAAAAUAAUAAUAACAGUGAGGAUAACGCUGAAGGAAAGAAGCACUUUGAUUAUUCAUGCAGGGAGGCAUGUUUUCCCUCCAACCUCAGGAGACCAGGUGGCAUCAGGAAGGAGUCUAAGGGUCAUCUGGGAGACCCUCCUGCUCAGUGGGUCAGGAUACCCACCCAGCACACCCACCCUGCCCAGUGGAGAUACCCACCCAUCCCCAGCAUCUGAACAGGUCAGUAUUUAACGUGUGCCUGACUCCUCCCAGUGACAGGCAGCUCACUGUCUUAAAGAAUCAACCUGGAGCCUCAAAAGGGCUCAUGCCCCAUGAAUAGCCCCUUCCUUUGAAUAUCAGAGUGAAAAACCACAAUGAUGGGUACAUUUCCUCGUCCUCCAAACCUCCCAAUAGCCUUGAUUUCUGUUCCCCCUUAUCCUACUUCUGCAAGAGAAGAUACCUUUGACAGGUAGAAGGUAAGUGGGUGUGGUGCCCAUCUCUGCCU